UUACCCGACUGCGCCAGAAGGAGGGUUAUGUUUUUCGAGAGUAUGUAUGUAUGUAUGUAUGUAUGUAUGUAUGUAUGUAUGUAUGUAUAAUUGUUUGGCACGCUCUGUAGCCUAAACGGCUUGAUGGAUUUUGACUUGAGAGGUGUCGUUAGAUUCGUAUUUACUGUGAGAGUGACACUGGAUAUAUCAAAAUAAUAAAAAAACAAAAUGG